rnacentral:tRNA from 1 species
GGGGAUGUAGCUCAGUUGGGAGAGCGCCGCCUUUGCACGGCGGAGGUCAAGGGUUCGAGUCCCUUCAUCUCCA